rnacentral:rRNA from 1 species
UACGGAGGGUGCAAGCGUUAAUCGGAAUUACUGGGCGUAAAGCGUGCGUAGGUGGUUUGUUAAGUCAGAUGUGAAAGCCCCGGGCUCAACCUGGGAACUGCAUUUGAAACUGUCAAACUAGAGUAUAGGAGAGGAAAGUGGAAUUUCAGGUGUAGCGGUGAAAUGCGUAGAUAUCUGAAGGAACAUCAAUGGCGAAGGCAGCUUUCUGGACUAAUACUGACACUGAGGUACGAAAGCGUGGGUAGCAAACAGGAUUAGAUACCCUGGUAGUCCACGCCGUAAACGAUGACAACUAGCCGUUGGGAGGGUUUACCUCUUAGUGGCGAAGCUAACGCGUUAAGUUGUCCGCC